UUUUAGUUUUAAUAUUUUAUUUAAAAAAUUUAAAUAAUAUGUUUUUAGUAUUUAUUAAAAAAAUUUUAUAUAGUUUAUGAAAAUUAUUAAAAUAAAAAGUUUAUAAUAAUUAAUUAGUACCUUUUGUAUCAGGGUAAAUUAAUUAAAUUUAUUUCUAUAAAAUUCCCGAAAAUAAGAUAUUUAUAUAUAAUUAAUAUUUUAUUGUUGUAAUAAUAUUUAUAAAUUUUAUAUAGUAGAAAAAUUCUAAUCGUUCUUUUUUAUAUCUGGUUAUUUAGGAAUUCAAUUUAAUUGAUGAUUAAAGAUAAGUUAUUAAUUUUAAUAUAAAAAUUAAUCAUAUAUAAUUUGGGAUAAUCUAUUUUAUUUUUUAAAAUUUUAUUAAUUAAAUAUUUAUUUAUUUUAAAAUCUUUUAUUAUAGUUCUUAAUAGAUUUUUAUUAUUUAUUUUAAUUUUAUUAAAUUUAUAUUUUUUACUAAGUUAAUUAAUUAAAUUUUAAUUUUUAUUAAAUAAUGAUUUAAUUAGUAUAAUAUUAAUUUAAUUUAUAAAUAACUCGACAAAAACAAUCUUCAGCUGUUUAUCAAAAACAUUUCUUUUAGACUAAAAAUUAAAAGUAAAUUCUGCCCUAUGAUUAAAAAUUAAAUGGCUGCAGUAUUUUGACUGUGCAAAGGUAGCAUAAUCAUUAGUCAUUUAAUUGUUGACUUGUAUGAAUGGAUAAAUGAGAGAUUAAUUUUUUUUAUUUUAUUAUUAAAAUUUAAUUUUUAGGUAAAAAAGCUUUAAUUAUUUUUUUGGGACGAUAAGACCCUAUAGAACUUAAUUAUAUGUAUAAUUAUACAAUUUUAUAGUUAAAAUUAUUUGUUAAUUAUUAUUAUUUUUUUGUUGGGGUGAUAAAUAAAUAUUUAACUUUAUUUUUUUAUAUCAUUAAUUUAUGAUUAUUUUUGAUCCUAAAUUUUAGAUUAAAAGAUUAAGUUACCUUAGGGAUAACAGCGUAAUUUUAAUGGGGAGUUCAUAUUUAUAUUAAAGUUUGCGACCUCGAUGUUGAAUUAAGAUAAGUUUGAGGGGUAGAUUUUUCAUUACUAAGUCUGUUCGACUUUUAAAUUCUUACAUGAUUUGAGUUCAAACCGGUGUGAGCCAGGUUGGUUUCUAUCUAAAAGUUAUAUUUAUUAUUUAGUACGAAAGGACCAAUAAUAACAAUAAUUGUUUGUCAAAAUUGAAUUUUAAU
rnacentral:rRNA from 1 species